rnacentral:rRNA from 1 species
GUGAGUAGUUCAGAGUUUGAUCCUGGCUCAGGACGAACGCUGGCGGCGUGCUUAACACAUGCAAGUCGAACGGAGUAAAGAGCUUCGGGUUUUUACUUAGUGGCGAACGGGUGAGUAACGCGUGAGGAACCUGCCUUUCAGGUGGGGACAACAGUUGGAAACGACUGCUAAUACCGCAUGAUACUAUUGAGUGGCAUCACUUGAUAGUCAAAGAUUUAUUGCUGAAAGAUGGCCUCGCGUCUGAUUAGCUAGUUGGUGGGUAACGGCCCACCAAGGCGACGAUCAGUAGCCGGACUGAGAGGUUGACCGGCCACAUUGGGACUGAGAUACGGCCCAG